rnacentral:rRNA from 1 species
ACUCCCCGUGGAGAAACUAGCAUAUCAAUAAGCGGAGGAAAGGAAACCAACAGGGAUUGCCUUAGUAACGGCGAGUGAAGCGGCAACAGCUCAAAUUUGAAAUCUGGCCCUUGGGUCCGAAUUGUAAUUUGUAGAGGAUGAUUUUGGUGCGGUAUCUUCCGAGUUCCUUGGAACAGGACGCCUUAGAGGGUGAGAGCCCCGUACGGUUGAAUGCCUAGCCUCUGUAAAUCUCCUUCGACGAGUCGAGUAGUUUGGGAAUGCUGCUCUAAAUGGGAGGUAAAUUUCUUCUAAAGCUAAAUAUUGGCCAGAGACCGAUAGCGCACAAGUAGAGUGAUCGAAAGAUGAAAAGCACUUUGAAAAGAGGGUUAAAUAGCACGUGAAAUUGUUGAAAGGGAAGGAUUUGUGACCAGACUUUUUCUGGGCGGAUCAUCCGGGGUUCUCUCCGGUGCACUUCGCCCAGUAAAGGCCAGCAUCGGUUUUCGGCGUGGGAUAAAAGCAGUAGGAAUGUGGCUCUCUACGGGGAGUGUUAUAGCCUAUUGUAUAAUACCGCGCUGGGGACCGAGGUUCGCGCUUCUGCAAGGAUGCUGGCGUAAUGGUUAUCAAUCACCCGUCUUGAAACACGGACCAAGGAGUCGAACAUUUGUGCGAGUGUUUGGGUGUUAAACCCUCACGCGUAAUGAAAGUGAACGGAGGUGAGAGCCCUUACGGGUGCAUCAUCGACCGAUCCUGAAGUUUUCGGAUGGAUUUGAGUAAGAGCAUAACUGUUCGGACCCGAAAGAUGGUGAACUAUGCGUGGAUAGGGUGAAGCCAGAGGAAACUCUGGUGGAGGCUCGCAGCGGUUCUGACGUGCAAAUCGAUCGUCAAAUCUGCGCAUGGGGGCGAAAGACUAAUCGAACCAUCUAGUAGCUGGUUACCGCCGAAGUCUCCCUCUCCGAGUAUAA